GCAGCCAUAGCGGCAGGGAAACGCCCGGUCCCAUCCCGAACCCGGAAGCCUAAGCCUGCCAGCGCCGAUGGUACUGCACCCGCCAGGGUGUGGGAGAGUAGGACGCUGC
rnacentral:rRNA from 1 species